GAAGAUUUCUAUUCCCCUUACAAAGCUCCAAUUUCCAGAGUUUGUUGAGAAGAGGGAUUGACUGUUAAACUAUUCUGAAAAUUGUAGUUCUGUGAGGGGAAUAGGAGUCCC